rnacentral:lncRNA from 1 species
GCCAACGGAUAUAUUGAGCUUUGAUUCUGCAAUGUAUCAUGAGUGGGAUAGCCAUCUUAGACCGCUAGGAAACUACCCGCCUGUUGUUACUGAGUCAGCUGAAAGUGCUGGUAUUUAGCAGUUAUCUUAGAGGGGAAGUAUUGAAGAAAAUUCAUCCCAUUAGCGCUUUUAUCGUCAGAGAAGGAAGACCUCAGUAAUUUAAUUUGAUGUAGAAGACAUUCUGCAGCUGGUUAAAGAUAUGAAAGGUUGUUUCUUUGCUAUGUGUCUGCUGGCCAUUUGCGUCAUUUUGGCGGAGUCUGCGCCGGCGCAACAUGAUGAUUGGGAUCCGGAGUUAUUCCAGAGGGAAGCUAGGUGCCUACCACCUGGGGGUGAAUGUAACCGUUCCAGUGAUUGCUGUGGAAGUACUGCAGUCUGUUCAUUUGAUGGCCAUAAAAAGCAGUGUGCUUGCUACAGACGCGUGCAACUUGGAGAUUGCGUUUAAUUGGCUAAGACAGAGGGCGUUUCAUCAUUACUUUUUGUAAUUUACCUGGGCAAAGUUACCUGAAAUCGAAAAUAAAACAACUUUGUCUUAAAUAUUAUUGUAGUUUCAUUGAUGGCAAAUGCUUUUAUAGCAGAGUUGUUUCAUUGUUUUAGCACUGUUGUAUACAAAUAAAAUUUGGCUUAGCUGC